rnacentral:lncRNA from 1 species
AUGAGUGGGAGGGGCAAAGAGAAAGCGAGACUGAAACAUUCUUGUGAAACAACCUGUCUAGCGCAGAGCCAUCCUGGCAGGGGAAAGAUGCAGACACAGUUGGCCUGUCUCCUGCUCAUCCUGGCCUGCCUGCAGACAGGAACAUCCAACACUCGAAUCACGAUGUGGCAGGAGAGGGGUUCUGGGGUUGACCUGACGGUGACCUGCGCCCUGUCUGGGGAUGAGAAGGUGUCCCAGGUUAACUGGGAGAGGGUACAAGGCGCCAAUCACAGCAAGUUGGCGGUGUACCACAUCGAUCUUGGCACUCACAUCCCCACUGAGCACCAAGCGAGCCUGGAGCUCUUCAGCCCCUCGUCCACACGCUCCGUGCUUGUCCUGAAGGGGGGGCGUCUGGAUGCCAACGACACCUACUGCUGCACCUUCAUCACCUUCCCCUCCGGCAGCCUGCAGCAGUGCCUGGACGUCACCACGCCCACAGUUGAGGCCCGCCUGGGGGAUGAAGAGAACGUGACGGGAGGGUGGCUGGUGCUGGCCGGCAUUGCCGCGGUCCCCUGCGUGGCGUUACUGAUGAUCACUGUCAUCGCCUACAGGAGAAGCUGUAACUCCAGGAGAAGAGUAUUCAAUGUCCAGCAGUCAAUCAGCAUAGAGGACUUAGAGGACUCAGAAGAGCCUCUUCACCUGCCACUGCAGAGCCAGCCCUCGAUCAACAGCCACAACUCCAAUUAUUACAUCAUGAUCAACGCCGACUACUACAACGGGAGGCCUGGGCAGGGGGAGCAGGAGGGGCACCUCUCGGCGGUGUCCCACCUGUUCAGCAGCCCCCACCCCUUUCACAAGACCUACUACCUUCUUGGGGAGGUGCAGCCAGAAAAGGGCAAGGCCAACCUCCAGAAGCAUGGUGCCACCUCACUGCCCAUGCCCACACCCAAGCGGGAGUUGCCUGGGGCUCCUGGGAGUUGCGUCAUACCAGAAACGGAAGGGCUGGGGCUUCAGGGCAAAGCAUGUUGAUGGGUCAGGGUGCUAGAUGAUGGAGUGGGACAAAGUGAAGCUGCUUUCUCCAGAAGGCACUUAAGUUCUUGAAGCACCGCCUCCUGCCUUUUAGCACAGCAGAGCUGGCUUCCCAGCACCUGGCUCUCCGAGAGUGGCAAGACUGUGGUGACCAUUGGGAGUGGUGUCAUGUACAGACUGGUGUUCUUUAAACAGUUGUGCUUCCUUGUGCACGUAACAGGACUUAGAGGUUUUUACAAGGGAUUUGGGAACUCAAAAGGAUGGAAGCAAAAUCCCUAGCCAAAGGUUUUUUGGAAAAACUGAGAGGGUUAGUGAUUGGGCAUGUAGAAUUUGGUAAUAACAAUUCUCCCUCCAUUGACCAAGCUACAUUGACCAAGACGCCCCUGUACACAGCUCUGGGACUGUAGCAAACUAUCGGAUUUCUGUGGCUGUUUUUAAAUGGAGUGGACCUGGUCUCAGUGGCUUUUUCCCCAGUACUCCCUGAUUUGAGUAUAAAAAGGCCUUCUUCCCAAGUCACACUUUGUAUGAGGAUGGAUCAUUAAGAAACAGCCUAUGAUAGAUAGUGUGCCUUUGUAUGGUAGUUUUAUAUUGACAAACACAGAUAUUGUAUAAAGCUGAAUUGCAUUAUUUUUUCAUGUAAACAUAGUGCAGUUAUGAAUCUUUCAUAUACUAAUAUAAUAGAUAAUAGUUUAUGUACAGUAGUAAUAAUAUUCUACUCUAAAACUGCUCUCUCCAUCUCUACCUGCCUCUACAUCUAUAACUCUAUUAUCUACAGUUUAUAUUGUUGUUUGUGUCUCUACAGUAUACAUCUUCUUCCAUCUGUAUAGGAACAGUUGCAAUGUUUGAGGUGUGAAGAUUUUGCAUUAUUCUAUGCAGCAAAAUUAAAAUGUCAAUGCAAUAUAAAUAACCAUAAAGGAAGGGGGAAGUACAGUUACGUCUCAGAUCAAGGACAAGAAAUUGCUAACUUGACAUGAAUGUAAUGCACACAACCCGAUAAAUAUCUGCAUCACCAUCACAGUCAUUUGUCUUCACCGUACUUGUUUUUAAAAGGUGCAGAUUGUCCCUGCAGCUAAAAAGGUUAACACUGCCUCUAAAUGGAAACUGUUUACUAAUGUACGGUAACGCUUUGAAUGAGGAAUUAAUACAUUUGGCAAUGAAUGAUGACUUAGCCUCCUGAUUUCCAUAUGAACCGGGGAGGAGUAGGGAAAAGCAAUCAGAACGGCUUCACCACCGCUCCACAGGGACAAACCCUUCAGGUGCGUGUUGUAGUGAUCAGGUGAGAGGCUGUACAUUUCUGUAGAACACACUGGUCAGUCACAGGUGUGUUUAAAGCCAAGACCACGCUUUAGAAAGAGAAUGAGCUCAAGCAGUAGAUCUUGAGUGAAGUCUGCAGGCCUGGUCCUGGAGAGCCAGGGUUUAUAGAGCAUUUCAGACAAACUGUGAGACAAAGGAGAACAAACAAGCUUGUGCUGGGGUUGCCGAUGAUGGCAGUCAGUGCUCACGGCCCCCGACCUGGAUCAGAGCUGUGCCGGCCCCUUUAGGAACCCUGCCUGAUGAGACAGUCAAACUUUACUGAGGCCUCUCACAGAGUGUCGUCUAGCUAUGAAGCCGUCCUUCGGAUGAGACGUAAAACCGAGGCCCUGACUCUCUGUGGUCAUUAAAAAUCCCAGGGCGUUUCUCUAAAAGAGUAGGGGUGUAACCCCGGUGUCCUGGCCAAAUUUCCCCCUGGCCUUUACCAAUCAUGGCCUCCUAAUAAUCCCCAUCUCUGAACUGGCUUCAUCACUCUGCUCUCCUCCCACUGAGAGCUGGUGUAUGGGGAGAGUACUGGUGCACUCUGGCUGCUGUUGCAUCUUCCAGGUGGGGCUGCACACUGGUGGUGGUGGAGGGGAGUCACCAUUACCUGUAAGGCGCUUUGAGUGAAGUGUCCGGAAAAGAGCUAUAUAAGUGUAAGCAAUUAUUAUUAUUAUUACAUGACUCUCUUGGUUUCCAUUAGAGACGUGCUCAGCUCAAUUCAAGCUCAAGGCUCUCAAACAUCAGAACCAGGCACCAAGAGCAUUAUGCGUGGAUGUUUGCGGUGAAAGACAUUUCUUUAAACAGAACAGAAUUGGGUUCAAACCCGACCCGAUGCAAAGCAGAAGCAGCGAAAGCACUAACGCCUAGCAAAUGGGAUUACGUUCAAAGCAAAGAAGGAGGUUUCAGUGCCGCCGUCGAGUGCACCGACAACGGUGGCAGGUGCCUGUGCUGUAACACUGUAUUGAUUCAUACUCUGACCAGCAGACUUGCACAGGCAGGGGCAUGUGUUCUCCAGGCACUGCAGUCAGCCUGGGAACGGAGCAUCUCUCCAGCGAACCGGCUGUGUGUCGGUCGCAGCAGGUCAUGCUGCACCACAAGCAGUUUGAAGCGAGCUGGUUUCCUUUCUCUCAGGAACCGAAGGUGCCGUUUGUUUCUAGUAAAAGCGCGCGCAGGUGACGACAUGCAAAUUCCGCCCCACAUAGAUAAGAGAACUUUCCACGCAGCGCAGCCUGUCGUCUCCUCAGCC